CAAGGACCCGCAGGUCUAGGUAUAAGCAUUAUACCGUGAAACUGCGAAUGGCUCAUUAAAUCAGUUAUCGUUUAUUUGAUAAUACCUUACUACUUGGAUAACCGUGGUAAUUCUAGAGCUAAUACAUGCUGAAAAUCCCGACUUCGGAAGGGAUGUGUUUAUUAGAUAAAAAACCAAUGCCCUUCGGGGCUUUUUGGUGAUUCAUGAUAACUUUACGGAUCGCAUAGCCUUGCGCUGGCGACGGUUCAUUCAAAUUUCUGCCCUAUCAACUUUCGAUGGUAAGGUAUUGGCUUACCAUGGUUUCAACGGGUAACGGGGAAUUAGGGUUCGAUUCCGGAGAGGGAGCCUGAGAAACGGCUACCACAUCCAAGGAAGGCAGCAGGCGCGCAAAUUACCCAAUCCCGACACGGGGAGGUAGUGACAAUAAAUACUGAUACAGGGCUCUUUUGGGUCUUGUAAUUGGAAUGAGUACAAUUUAAACCUCUUAACGAGGAACAAUUGGAGGGCAAGUCUGGUGCCAGCAGCCGCGGUAAUUCCAGCUCCAAUAGCGUAUAUUAAAGUUGUUGCAGUUAAAAAGCUCGUAGUUGAAACUUGGGCCUGGCUGGCGGGUCCGCCUCACCGCGUGCACUCGUCCGGCCGGGCCUUCCUUCUGAAGAACCUCAUGCCCUUCACUGGGCGUGCUGGGGAAUCAGGACUUUUACUUUGAAAAAAUUAGAGUGUUCAAAGCAGGCCUUUGCUCGAAUACGUUAGCAUGGAAUAAUAAAAUAGGGCGUGCGUUUCUAUUUUGUUGGUUUCUAGAGACGCCGCAAUGAUUAACAGGAACAGUCGGGGGCAUCAGUAUUCAGUUGUCAGAGGUGAAAUUCUUGGAUUUACUGAAGACUAACUACUGCGAAAGCAUUUGCCAAGGAUGUUUUCAUUAAUCAGUGAACGAAAGUUAGGGGAUCGAAGACGAUCAGAUACCGUCGUAGUCUUAACCGUAAACUAUGCCGACUAGGGAUCGGGCGAUGUUCUUUUUCUGACUCGCUCGGCACCUUACGAGAAAUCAAAGUUUUUGGGUCUGGGGGAUAUUCGACGUCU
rnacentral:rRNA from 1 species